UUACGGCCAUAUCACGGUGCAGCACCGGUUCUCGUCCGACCAGCGAAUUUAAGCAACGUCGAGUCUGGUCAGUAUCUGCAUGGAUGAUCACUUGGGAAUAGCAAGUGGUGCAAG